AUUAGUAAUUGUAUCAGUAAAAUUUAUUGUUCUAAUUUGAAAUUAGAGUUUAGUGUCUUAGGUGAUGCAUUUUACUAUUU
rnacentral:tRNA from 1 species